AACUAGUCAUAUAUGGUAUUUUUUGAAAGCGUAGAACCUCUGCUUUCUUGCAAGUCCCAUGGUAUUUGCAUUAAUUUUACAUAAAAGAAAAUAAUAAGGUAUAAAUUCGUUCUUCCACAACCACCCCCCCCUUGAGAAAAUCAGAUGAAUAAUGUUCAUAUUUCAUAUUUAUAGCACACAAACUCACCAAACAUGGACAAGUCACACAUCAAAUGAAAGCUCUCACUCUCAGGAAUGUCACUGUGUACUUUAUUUCACCGAUCUUAUACAUUACAGUGACAUAACAAAUAAUAAUUUUCAAAAGAAUCACGAAAACUGAAAUUACUUAUGUGAACAAGCAAACGUAUGCGUCAUAUUUCUGCGCUGAUAACUACAUCUGUGCUCACAUACUAGCCUAAAAUCCUAUAUCAGCUUUUACAUUAGGUUGUUUUCUUCAAAAUGAGAGCAUUCUCGUGUGUCUGUGAGCAUGCAUGGCUAAACGGCACUAUAAUAUGUCUCAGAUGCGCAGAUCAAAACAUGCAAUGCAGCGUAAAACAUGACCAGUAUUUGUAUUGACUCUCUUUGAUUCCUUUCGACUUGCAAUGACGUCAUCACGCAGUGCGUCCUAUGUCAUGAAAGCUGACAGCCUCCCCUCUCCAUAGACACAUCGAUCAAGCUUCUAGACCAUUCAGAGCCCGAGUUGUUGCUUUCCAAAGUUGAGGAGGUGGGACUAAAGAAAACGCCGCAAACGGGCGCAGAUGAUUAUUGAUGAGUUGAUCGGAAGUUGGUUUGUGAUUUUGGAUAGCGUUUUAGCGAAUUAUUGCGUGCUUUUAUUACUGUUAGAGUUAUAUGUCUCUGAAAAAUUACUUCAAGAAAGUUUUUUGUUGGUGUGGAGGCGGCUUUGGAGGAGUUUGAUCGGAUGUCCGACACUGAAACUUGCAGCGAGGCUAGCUAGCUUUGACUCGGUCAGAGAAGCUGCUUACAAACUGGGAGAAGACCCUGAUUUUGAUUGUAGCAUCCAGUGGUGAAGAAUGGGAGCCAGCAAGUCAGGAUACUUAUCUUGUGUGUGUGUGUGUGUGUGUGUGUGUGUGUGUAAAAUAAAAUGCAAGAACAGAA